CGGGGCUGUGCAGAUCAUCCCGGGGCUGUGCAUCAUCCCGGGGCUGUGCAGAUCAUCCCGGGGCUGUGCAGAUCAUCCCGGGGCUGCGGCACCGAGCAGCGGCAGCAACACCAUCGCUCCUUGGGCAGACAGCGGGGGACGGGCAUCAGCGUGGGGAAAAUGCAGGCAUGUGGGGAAGAUCAUGUGAGAAUUGAAGAUGGUCAAGAUUCCAGAUCUAGUUUAUCUGUUUCCAUGCAAGACGUUCCUUUUCACCCUCCUCAAUCAUUUUUGUUUAAAGUCUUUCAACUGUGCAGCCAGAACCACAAGUGAUAGGAAAGAACCACUCAGCGGAAUAAAGGGAACUCUUCUGAUGAAUGCCUGAAGUAGCUGGUAUCCCAUGAGAAGAUCUCUCUGCAGAUCUACAGGCAAGACCUAGCUGAUGUAGUUCCAUGGUGCUGCACAGACCUGGGACCAGCUGCUCUCAGCCUCCAGCACCAGGUUUUGUGUCAAGUCAGACACCAGGUAGCGACUCUUCAGGUGAGAUGUGUUCAGUUUGAGCUCCAGCUUCAUGUGAUCAAACCCCUUCUGCUGACAUGCAUUUGCACAUCUGGAAUACCAGCAGGUGAAUGCACAGUAUCACAAACCCCACUGGCAAUUGUAAAUAAGAAUAAACCCUUCUUUUCAGCUUGUGGAAGCUGGAUGUCUAACUCUCUAGAAAAAUAAAUGGCAAAUUGGACCGUGGGUUUUGUAAAUCACCUUGAAAAUCUCAGUAACUGCGAUUAAUCAAAAUAUUCAGUUCUAAAAUUUAAAUGGUG